rnacentral:rRNA from 1 species
GUGCCAGCAGCCGCGGUAAUACCGGCAGCCCGACUGAUGGCCGAUCUUAUUGGGCCUAAAGCGUCCGUAGCUGGCCGCGCAAGUCCAUCCCGGAAUCCACCUGCUCAACAGGUGGGCGCCCGGUAGAAACAGCGUGGCUUGGGACCGGAAGGCGCGACGGGUACGUCCGGGGUAGGAGUGAAAUCCCGUAAUCCUGGACGGACCGCCGAUGGCGAAAGCACGUCGCGAGAACGGAUCCGACAGUGAGGGACGAAAGCCAGGGUCUCGAACCGG